rnacentral:rRNA from 1 species
GAUGAACGCUGGCGGCGUGCCUAAUACAUGCAAGUCGAACGCACAGCGAAAGGUGCUUGCACCUUUCAAGUGAGUGGCGAACGGGUGAGUAACACGUGGACAACCUGCCUCAAGGCUGGGGAUAACAUUUGGAAACAGAUGCUAAUACCGAAUAAAACUUAGUGUCGCAUGACACAAAGUUAAAAGGCGCUUCGGCGUCACCUAGAGAUGGAUCCGCGGUGCAUUAGUUAGUUGGUGGGGUAAAGGCCUACCAAGACAAUGAUGCAUAGCCGAGUUGAGAGACUGAUCGGCCACAUUGGGACUGAGACACGGCCCAAACUCCUACGGGAGGCUGCAGUAGGGAAUCUUCCACAGUGGGCGAAAGCCUGAUGGAGCAACGCCGCGUGUGUGAUGAAGGCUUUCGGGUCGUAAAGCACUGUUGUAUGGGAAGAACAGCUAGAAUAGGAAAUGAUUUUAGUUUGACGGUACCAUACCAGAAAGGGACGGCUAAAUACGU